AACGCACGAGACCUGCGGACCUGCGGAGGGAUCAUUAAUGAGAAACUGCCCCUCGCGGGUAGACCUCCCACCCUUUGUAAACUUACCUUUGUUGCUUUGGCAGGCCCGUCUCCGGACCGCCGGCUUCGGCUGGCCAGUGCCUGCCAGAGGAUUCUAAAACUCUGUCUGUCAGUGUUGUCUGAGUCUAUAUACAAUCGUUAAAACUUUUAACAACGGAUCUCUAGAUCGGAAGAGCACACG
rnacentral:misc_RNA from 1 species